CCUACGGGAGGCAGCAGUGGGGAAUAUUGCACAAUGGGGGAAACCCUGAUGCAGCGACGCCUCGUGAGUGAAGAAGCCCCUCGGCGCGUAAAGCCCUUUCAUCAGGGAAGAAAAUGACGGUACCUGAAGAAUAAGCCCCGGCUAACUACGUUCCAGCAGGCGCGGUAAUACGUAGGGUGCAAGCGUUAUCCGGAUUUACUGGGGGUAAAGGGGGCGCAUACGGCUAUGAAAGCCAGGAGUGAAAGCCCGGGGCCAAACCCCGGAACUGCUCUUGGAACUGCGUGGGUAGGGUGCAGGAGGGGCAGGCGGAAUUCAUGGUGUAGCGGUGAAAUGGGUAGAUAUCAGGAGGAACCCCGGUGGGGAAGGCGGCCUGCUGGACUGCAACUGACGUGGAGGGCGGAAAGGGGGGGGAGCAAAAAGGAUUGGAUACCCGGUAGUC
rnacentral:rRNA from 1 species